GCGAGUUGUCGACCGUUACUUUUUCGUUCGAGUCUCCGCGGGAGUGAAUCGAUACCCAAAAUUCAACUGACGUCACGCUCGAGUGUCUUUCGAAGCAGCGGGACGUAUGCGGUGAUUGUUUUCCGUUGGAUACAUGCAGCAGCAAGCGAGGGUUUUAGCCUUUUAGCUCGAGGGAUUAGAGAGUUCCGGUCUGCGGAUGGCAGUCACGUAGCAUCGAAACGACGCGUUUUCUUUGGAUCUUCCGUCGCCCCCGAGGCCGUGGCGGAUUUCAUUGCGAAGGGUGUGAGUUCGUGACGCCUCGUUGAGCGAUCCCAUAAUAUAUCGCGUCUCAAAAGCGUUCCGCGCGAUCGCAUCGGCUCCCCCAACACAAAUUCCUCCCCGGACCGAUGACGGAUGUCGUGGAAAUAAGAAAAAGCGGAAUUCCUCGUGGAAUAUUGGUCCGGCCGAGGUCCGAUGGGGGCCCGUCACCCGCGAUCAAUUGCUGCUCCGCUUUAUUAUUCCCCGGGUUAUCGAAAGGGGAGAAAGAGAGCUCGAUCCAUUACGGUGAUUUGGAUAUCCGAGGAAGAGAGUGAGAGAGCGUUGGGAGGUCGGAGCAGCCGCUUGGGCCCGGGGGGCUCGGAAAUUUCAUUUUCUCUCGAAAUUGUUGGCGCGUUUGGGAAAAACGUUAACGCGCAAAUGGAUCUGGAAGACGACGACUCCGGACAAUAAAUAGACGUCGCUCCCCCCGGCCCCUCCUUCGAACGCUGUUAUUCGUAGCGCCGAAAGGGAUGACGACGAUCCGCGCUGCUAUCCAUAUAUGUAUUAGCUCCCGCGCGCGGGACGGAGAAAUCGCGACGGCAGGGAAAUGACCAUUAGACCGGAAAACGAGGUUGAAGAGGGACGGAGACGGGGACAGG